rnacentral:rRNA from 1 species
GGUAGGGUAUUGGCCUACUGAGGCAACGACGGGUAACGGGGAAUUAGGGUUCGAUUCCGGAGAGGGAGCCUGAGAAACGGCUACCACAUCUAAGGAAGGCAGCAGGCGCGCAAGUUACCCAAUCCUGACACAGGGAGGUAGUGACAAGAAAUAACAAUACGGGGCUUUAUGUCUUGUAAUUGGAAUGAUGGGAAUUUAAACCUCUUCCAGAGUAUCAAUUGGAGGGCAAGUCUGGUGCCAGCAGCCGCGGUAAUUCCAGCUCCAAUAGCGUAUAUUAAAAUUGUUGCAGUUAAAAAGCUCGUAGUUGAAUUUCUGCUGCAUUGCAUCUUCUUUUUGAUGAGUUGAUGUAUUGUGGCUUAUUUCGGAUGAUACUUGUAUUAUCCGGAUGA